UUAACGAUUAAGAUCGUACUCGGACGACACGAUUAUGAUCAGGGUUAAAGGGCCUUCGGCGGGCGCACACCAACGAAUCGCCGGUGGCCACGGGGGACGACCCGCCAAAGCAACGCUGGUAAGGUAAACAGGGUGGGAGAUCUACCCCCGGAGGGGGCAUGAACUCGAUAAUGAUCCUUCCGCAGGUUCACCUACGGAAA
rnacentral:misc_RNA from 1 species